UUACGCUACACAAGUAAUUUAUUACGCUUUUUGUUAACACUUGUUUAUGUAAAUCUGAUGUUGGUAGAUUGUUUUCUUCUUGAAGAUGAAAUGCAUGUGUGGCAUCUUAGCAUUUUUUUUUUUUUUUUUUUUUACAUAGCGUUUUGACAGUUGCCGUCAUAUUUUCAGAAUCAAAGCGUUCCGGCCCUGAAUCUUAUACCGGAACUGCGUUCCUGACUGUUCUGGCCCACUUUACCCCCGCCGAUAAAUACGGGUCAGAGUUCAGCUGAGAGAUAAGGGAAUAGAAAGAAGAUCCUGUGCAGCUCUCUAUCAGCCUCUCACAUUCAACUCUGGUAUGAUCAGUCUCCUACACCCGUGGCCUGGUGCUGCUGCCUAUAAUGAACUCGGCCACAAGUCAUCUCCGUCUCCCUGCUGGAUUCUUUGUGGAGUUCUUCUGUGUUUGACCCAAAGUCUCCUCAGAAAACAUUUUCCACCAGCCCAAGCUUCUACCAAAUGAGGGGCCAUUACCACCGAAGGAGACGAAGAUGCUGCUACGCAACAACGACAACAACAAAAGGUUUGAUUUUUCAUCCCUUCUGGUUCUGUCUCUGAAGGGGCUGAAGAAAUUUGAAUGAUGUAUGAAGCCAAGGAGUUUUUUUGCUGUUGACCAGCAGUGAGCAUGCACUAAAUGCAUUGUUAAUUUGGCCCUGGUUUUCUUUUGUCUGUCUUUUAAUGAUUCCCCUGAACUCUUGCCUGUUUCGGUACACUUUGAUCCAAACAGUCUCGUUUCCUCUAAUCUACCCAAAUGGUGACAAUCAGUCAUCCCACAGUAGGGGAGAUAUACUGAUUAAGUGUAAUUCAAACGAAAUCAAUCAAAACGUAAACCAUCAAUUCUGUUUUGUUGAAAAGAAUGCUUUGCACUCAAAUGUCUGAAAUGUUUCAGCUACAAAUAUGUCAAAACAUACAACAUUUCUUGGUAUUCUUCAUAGGUUAAAGAGGAAAUGGUAAAUGGUGUUAUAUGUAAUGAAUUGUGUUAAAGGUGCUAUAUGGCGUAUGGGAUUGUGCUGGAAGCCGGUCUCUUUUUAUUGGACAGAAUCCAUGGUAAAUUGUCGACAGUUACCGGCAUGUGUGUGCAGUGUUUUUGCCAAGCAGAGACUAGUUGGAGGCUAGGUGAAACAGUGCUGCUGCCGGGAUGCGCGUGGACGUGCACCGGCGCAUGUUUGCCCACAGUGUUCGACUCGAACCCUCUCUGUUGAAGGGAAGAUAAAGGGCUUUUUGGGUCGGUCUCAGUUAAAAUGUUUGAGCUCAUGCAUAGAGUAGAACAGUAUUUUACAUUAACACUAUUGUAAAAUAUUUAUGUCACACUGCUGUUGCCAUAGUGUGCACUUACUGUGGGUGUGGUAUUACAGUAUAAAAAUCUCUGUGAUGUGUUGGUGGCACAUAUGUUGAGAGGCACACUGAAUAAAGAAGUGUUGUUCCAUUCAAGUCUCGGCCUUAAUGUACUCAGAUUAUGGAAGUACAUAACAAAAAGUGGCGACGAGGAUGGGAUGAAUUGUUGGGAACACCAGACACUACUCCAGAACUGUCUAAUGAUUGUGAUGAUGCUAGCAGUGUAAUUAUACCACAAAUGUCUAGUUUACCGGAUGUGCCAAAAAUACUAGAAAUGUCUAGCUUACCGGAUGUGUCAAACCCAAACAAUCCUGCAGUAUAUGUGUCUAAUUCAACCAACGCACAAACGGAACCUGAAACAAUAUCGGAACCUGUUGUCGCAAGUGGAAAAUCGGAAGUGACUGUUGAACGUCGUUAUCCUGCACGUGACAGGCGACCACCUGCUAGACUGGAUUUAUAAAUAGGACCGGAUCUAGACGCAUCCUGCCUGGGUCUUCGCCUUGCUCGUCCCCCCCCCUGC